AUUGAACGCUGGCGGCAGGCUUAACACAUGCAAGUCGAGCGAGCGGCGGACUGGCGAGUAAUGUCUUCGCACCUGCCUGAUCUCGCGGGCUAACUACUGUAAACGGUAGCUAAUACUGCAUACCAUCCUUUGUUCCCAGAUGGGAUUAGCUAGGAGGUGGGGUAAUGGCUCACCUAGGCGACGAUCCAUAGCUGGUCCGAGAGGCUGACCAGCCACACUGGAACUGAGACACGGUCCAGACGCCUACGGGAGGCAGCAGUGGGGAAUAUUGCACAAUGGGCGCAAGCCUGAUGCAGCCAUGCCGCGUGUGUGAAGAAGGCCUUCGGGUUGUAAAGCACUUUCAGCGAGGAGGCGUUACUCGCAGAAGAAGCACCGGCUAACUCCGUGCCAGCAGCCGCGGUAAUUC
rnacentral:rRNA from 1 species